rnacentral:rRNA from 1 species
CCUACGGGAGGCAGCAGUGAGGAAUAUUGGUCAAUGGGCGAGAGCCUGAACCAGCCAAGUCGCGUGAAGGAUGACGGCCCUACGGGUUGUAAACUUCUUUUGUCAGGGAGCAAUUGAGUCCACGUGUGGGCUUAGCGAGAGUACCUGAAGAAAAAGCAUCGGCUAACUCCGUGCCAGCAGCCGCGGUAAUACGGAGGAUGCGAGCGUUAUCCGGAUUUAUUGGGUUUAAAGGGUGCGUAGGCGGAAUAUCAAGUCAGCGGUAAAAAUUCGGGGCUCAACCCCGUCGUGCCGUUGAAACUGGUUUUCUUGAGUGAGUGAGAAGUAUGCGGAAUGCGUGGUGUAGCGGUGAAAUGCAUAGAUAUCACGCAGAACUCCGAUUGCGAAGGCAGCGUACCGGCGCCCAACUGACGCUGAAGCACGAAGGCGUGGGUAUCGAACAGGAUUAGAUACCCGAGUAGUC